UACGGAGGGUGCAAGCGUUAUCCGGAUUCACUGGGUUUAAAGGGUGCGUAGGCGGGUUGGUAAGUCCGUGGUGAAAUCUCCAAGCUUAACUUGGAAACUGCCGUGGAUACUAUCAAUCUUGAAUAUAGUGGAGGUGAGCGGAAUAUGUCAUGUAGCGGUGAAAUGCUUAGAUAUGACAUAGAACACCCAUUGCGAAGGCAGCUCGCUACACUAUUUAUUGACGCUGAGGCACGAAAGCGUGGGGAUCAAACAGG
rnacentral:rRNA from 1 species